rnacentral:rRNA from 1 species
UACGGAGGGCGCAAGCGUUGUCCGGAUUUAUUGGGCGUAAAGCGUCCGUAGGUGGUUGACCAAGUCUGCUGUCAAAGGGUGGGGCUUAACCUCAUAAAGGCAGUGGAAACUGGUGAGCUAGAGUGCGGUAGGGGUAAGGGGAAUUCCCAGUGUAGCGGUGAAAUGCGUAGAGAUUGGGAAGAACAUCGGUGGCGAAAGCGCCUUGCUGGGCCUGCACUGACACUGAGGGACGAAAGCUAGGGGAGCGAAAGGG